rnacentral:rRNA from 1 species
AUUGAACGCUGGCGGCAUGCCUUACGCAUGCAAGUCGAACGGCAGCAUGGAGAGCUUGCUCUCUGAUGGCGAGUGGCGAACGGGUGAGUAAUGCAUCGGAACGUACCGUGUAAUGGGGGAUAACGUAGCGAAAGUUACGCUAAUACCGCAUACGACCUGAGGGUGAAAGCAGGGGAUCGCAAGACCUUGCGUUAUACGAGCGGCCAAUGUCAGAUUAGCCAGUUGGUGAGGUAAAGGCUCACCAAGGCGACGAUCUGUAGCGGGUCUGAGAGGAUGAUCCGCCACACUGGGACUGAGACACGGCCCAGACUCCUACGGGAGGCAGCAGUGGGGAAUUUUGGACAAUGGGGGCAACCCUGAUCCAGCCAUGCCGCGUGAGUGAAGAAGGCCUUCGGGUUGUAAAGCUCUUUCGGCCGGGAAGAAAUCGCACAGGCUAAUACUCUGUGUGGAUGACGGUACCGGCAUAAGAAGCACCGGCUAACUACGUGCCAGCAGCCGCUGUAA